rnacentral:tRNA from 1 species
GGGCCGCUAGCUCAACUGGCAGAGCGACGGGCUUUUAACCCGGCGGUUCUGGGUUCGAGUCCCAGGCGGCCCA